rnacentral:misc_RNA from 1 species
GUGAGUCAUCGAAUCUUUGAACGCACAUUGCGCCUCCUGUAACAGGGAGGCAUGCCUGUCUGAGUCUCAUUUAAUCCCUAAGCCCAUCUGGGUUUGUGCAUGGGCGCUCGCCUCUUGGGCGUCGCCUCAAAGUCAUCUGUCUUAUGAGCGGACGAGAUCCUUUCGGACUGACCGUUUGUGGGACCCAAAAUCUCUGAUUUGAGCUCAGAUCAGGUAGGACUACCGCCUGAACUUAAGCAUAUCAAUAAGCGGAGGA